rnacentral:rRNA from 1 species
GACGAACGCUGGCGGCGUGCCUAAUACAUGCAAGUCGAACGAACCGCGACUAAGUGCUUGCACUAAGUCAAGGUGAGUGGCGAACGGGUGAGUAACACGUGGGUAACCUACCUCAUAGUGGGGGAUAACAGUCGGAAACGACUGCUAAUACCGCAUAGGACAUAGGAUCACAUGAUCCAGUGAGGAAAGGUGGCGCAAGCUAUCGCUAAGAGAUGGACCCGCGGUGCAUUAGCUAGUUGGUAGGGUAAAGGCCUACCAAGGCGAUGAUGCAUAGCCGACCUGAGAGGGUGAUCGGCCACAUUGGGACUGAGACACGGCCCAAACUCCUACGGGAGGCAGCAGUAGGGAAUCUUCCGCAAUGGACGCAAGUCUGACGGAGCAACGCCGCGUGAGUGAAGAAGGUCUUCGGAUCGUAAAGCUCUGUUGUUAGAGAAGAACAGCGCAUAGAGUAACUGCUAUGCGUGUGACGGUAUCUAACCAGAAAGCCACGGCUAACUACG